rnacentral:rRNA from 1 species
GUGGGGAAUAUUGGACAAUGGGGGGAACCCUGAUCCAGCCAUGCCGCGUGUGUGAAGAAGGCCUUUUGGUUGUAAAGCACUUUAAGUGGGGAGGAGGCUUACCUGGUUAAUACCUGGGCUAAGUGGACGUUACCCACAGAAUAAGCACCGGCUAACUCUGUGCCAGCAGCCGCGGUAAUACAGAGGGUGCAAGCGUUAAUCGGAUUUACUGGGCGUAAAGCGCGCGUAGGUGGUUAAUUAAGUCAAAUGUGAAAUCCCCGAGCUUAACUUGGGAAUUGCAUUCGAUACUGGUUGGCUAGAGUAUGGGAGAGGAUGGUAGAAUUCCAGGUGUAGCGGUGAAAUGCGUAGAGAUCUGGAGGAAUACCGAUGGCGAAGGCAGCCAUCUGGCCUAAUACUGACACUGAGGUGCGAAAGCAUGGGGAGCAAACAGGAUUAGAUACCCGGGUAGUCC